rnacentral:lncRNA from 1 species
AUCACACCAAUUGUCUAUCAAAUUAAAUUUGAGAUGUGAUGAAAAUAAGUUGGUAGUUGGGAACUAAUUGACCUUAAUUAACCAUCCUCUUUGGCCAAUUAUAAAUACUAGUGCAGGACUUCAUGUUCAUAAACUACCCCUUGAAAGACUAGAGACGUUGUUGUGAGACUCCCGUAUUGAAACAGUUAGUUGAUACGAGACAAUGAGUUCAUCCACUUCCAGCAACGAACCAUUCAACUCAAUAUGCAUCCACUGAUACUGGGUUCAUCCGCUGAAUUUCCCAU